GUUUUCUCUGUUCCACUGGAGGUUUACUUUAAAGAGGACUGCCACAAUGGGUACCCACCCCAGAGUGGGGCCCCAUACUUUCUCCUAGCCUUUGCCCGUGCUGGUUCUCUGCCUGGAUACUGCUAUCUUGGAGUUUUGACCACAGAUCUUGGGAAGAGGAUCUCAAGCCUCAGAUGAGACCCGAGCCCUACCAAAACCUUGAUUUCAGCCUUAUGAGACUCUGAGCAGUGAGCCUACUUGAUCCUACAUGGACUUCUGAUUUACACAACAGAAAAAUAAAUGGGUAUUGUUUUAAGCUGCUA